rnacentral:rRNA from 1 species
AACGAACGCUGGCGGCAGGCCUAGCACAUGCAAGUCGAGCGGAUCCUUCGGGAUUAGCGGCGGACGGGUGAGUAACGCGUGGGAAUAUGCCCUUCUCUACGGAAUAGCCUCGGGAAACUGGGAGUAAUUCCGUAUACGACCUACGGGGGAAAGAGUUAUCGGAGAAGGAUUAGCCCGCGUUGGAUUAGGUAGUUGGUGGGGUAAUGGCCUACCAAGCCUACGACCCAUCGCGGGUUUGAGAGGAUGAUCAGCCACACUGAGACUGAGACACGGCCCAGACUCCUACGGGAGGCAGCAGUUGGGAAUCUUAGACAAUGGGGGAAACCCUGAUCUAGCCAUGCCGCGUGAGUGAUGAAGGCCUUAGGGUUGUAAAGCUCUUUCAGCUGGGAAGAUCAUGACGGUACCAGCAGAAGAAGCCCCAGCUAACUCCGUGCCAGCAGCCGCCGCCGUAA